GCCCAGCCGUAAACAAUUAAUCCACAACCAUAAGCGCCAGGGAAUUACGAGCCAAGCUUAAAACCCAAAGGAUUUGACGGUGUCCCACCCCCCUAGAGGAGCCUGUUCUAUAAUCGAUGAUCCCCGCUACACCCGACCAUUUCUUGCUUAUCAGUCUGUAUACCUCCGUCGAAAGCCUACCAUGUGAACGCCCCCACAGUAGGUUCAAUGAUCCCCGUCAAUACGUCAGGUCAAGGUGCAGCUUAAGAAAUGGGAAGUGAUGGGCUACAAUUUCUAACCUAGAACAAACGAAAGGCUAUGUGAAAUCAUAGUCACGAAGGCGGAUUUAGUAGUAAAAAGAAAAUAGAGUGUUCUUUUUAACCUGGCUCUGGGACGCGUACACACCGCCCGUCACCCUCUUCGAUAGUGCUAACCCACAGUUUAUAACCUAUUUAUACGUCUGAGAAGAGGCAAGUCGUAACAUGGUAAGUGUACUGGAAAGUGCACUUGGUAUAUUACAAAAUAUAGCUUAACAAAAGCCCCCCGCUUACACCGAGGAGUUAUCUGUUUGACCCAGAUUAUUUUGAGCCUUAAAUCUAGCCCACACAACCCGCAUGAUACUCCUCGACAUCUGUAAAAAAUAAAACAUUUUAACAUUUUAGUAUAGGCGAUAGAAAAAUUAUUAGGCGCUUUAGACAGAGUACCGCAAGGGAAACAUGAAAUAGAAAUGAAACAAUUCUUACAGCCACAAACAGCAGAGACACCCCCUCG
rnacentral:rRNA from 1 species